rnacentral:rRNA from 1 species
AUUGAACGCUGGCGGCAUGAUUUACACAUGCAAGUCGAACGGUAACAGGCCGCAAGGUGCUGACGAGUGGCGAACGGGUGAGUAAUGCAUCGGAACGUGCCCAGUCGUGGGGGAUAACUACUCGAAAGAGUAGCUAAUACCGCAUACGAUCUAUGGAUGAAAGCGGGGGACCGUAAGGCCUCGCGCGAUUGGAGCGGCCGAUGUCAGAUUAGGUAGUUGGUGGGGUAAAGGCUCACCAAGCCAACGAUCUGUAGCUGGUCUGAGAGGACGACCAGCCACACUGGGACUGAGACACGGCCCAGACUCCUACGGGAGGCAGCAGUGGGGAAUUUUGGACAAUGGGCGCAAGCCUGAUCCAGCAAUGCCGCGUGCAGGAAGAAGGCCUUCGGGUUGUAAACUGCUUUUGUACGGAACGAAACGGCUCUGGUUAAUACCCGGGGCUAAUGACGGUACCGUAAGAAUAAGCACCGGCCAACUACGUG